UCAGAAUUUCAGCGCCGAUGAAACUUUUUUAGUUAGGGAUAGUAAUAGGGACAGUUAUUCCAUAUAUUUUGAUAUUGAAAAUAAAGUUUUUGAGAUUGACAAUGAUCAUUCUUUUCUGAGUGAACUAAAAAGUUCUUUUUAUAGUUAUUGGAAUUCUAGUUAUCUGAAUAAUGGGUUUAGGAGUGGCGACUCCCACUAUGAUCAUUAUAUGUAUGAUACUAAAUAUAGUUGGAAUAAUUACAUCAAUAGUUGCAUUGACAGUUAUCUUCGCUCUCAAAUCUGUAUUGAUAGUUAUAUUUUAAGUGGUAGUAACAAUUACAGCGAAAGUUACAUUUAUAGUUACAUUUGUGGUGAAAGUGGAAAUAGUAGUGAAAGCGAUAGUUCCAGUCUAAGAACUAGCACGAGUGGUAGCGAUUUAAUUAUAAGAGAAAAUUCUAAUGAUCUCGAUAUAACUCAAAAAUACAAGCAUUUGUGGGUUCAAUGCGAAAAUUGUUAUGGAUUAAAUUAUAAGAAAUUUUUUAAGUCAAGAAUGAAUAUUUGUGAACAAUGUGGAUAUCAUUUGAAAAUGAGUAGUUCAGAUAGAAUUGAACUUUUGAUUGACCUAGGCACUUGGGAUCCUAUGGAUGAAGACAUGGUAUCUCUGGAUCCCAUUGAAUUUCAUUCAGAAGAGGAACCUUAUAAAGAUCGUAUUGAUUCUUAUCAAAGAAAGACAGGAUUAACUGAGGCUGUUCAAACAGGCACAGGUCAACUAAACGGCAUUCCCGUAGCAAUUGGGGUUAUGGAUUUUCAGUUUAUGGGGGGUAGUAUGGGAUCCGUAGUAGGUGAGAAAAUCACUCGUUUGAUCGAGUAUGCUACCAAUAAAUUUUUACCUCUUAUUUUAGUGUGUGCUUCCGGAGGAGCACGCAUGCAAGAAGGAAGUUUGAGCUUGAUGCAAAUGGCUAAAAUAUCUUCUGCAUUAUAUGAUUAUCAAUCAAAUAAAAAGUUAUUUUAUGUAUCAAUCCUUACAUCUCCUACGACUGGUGGGGUGACAGCUAGUUUUGGUAUGUUGGGGGAUAUCAUUAUUGCUGAACCUAAUGCCUAUAUUGCGUUUGCAGGUAAAAGAGUAAUUGAACAAACAUUGAAUAAGACAGUACCUGAAGGUUCGCAAUCGGCCGAAUUUUUAUUCCAUAAGGGCUUAUUUGAUCUAAUCGUACCGCGUAAUCUUUUAAAAGGCGUUCUGAAUGAGUUACUUCAGCUCCACGAUUUCUUUCCUUUGAAUCAUAAAUCAAGUAGAAACCUUAAGUUAAAAAGUUAAAAGUUAAACUUAAUUAAAUUAGUUAAUUAAAUUUAAAUUAAUUUAAUUCUUUUUUUUAUGGCGAGCAGGUCUUUUUUUUUUAUCGGAAUCAAAGGAAAAAUCUGAAGAAUGGAUUUUUUUCUGACAUAAGAGUAAAUUGUAGAACGAAUCAUGUAGGUAACUUUUUUUUUUUUACCGAUAUUCUUGAUUACUAAUUAAGAAACUUCUAUCAACAAGAAAAAAGAGUGAAUUUUUUUUUCACGGAAAAAAAAUUGGCAAGGUAAAUAAAACGAAUUUCAUGUUCUUUUCUUACCUAUGCAUAGAAAAUAUAGAGUCUUGCAUAUUUAUAUAUAUAUAUAUAUAUAUCCCGGGAAUUUCCUUUUUUACUAAAAAUUCCUAUUGACGGAUCGGAUUAUAAAUUAUAACGAAUUUUGGAGGAAUUUUUAAGCGGAAAAACUCUUUAUUUUUAUUUUAUUAAUGUAAAAUAAGAAAAUAAAAGUUAUAAGACAAGAAAAAAAGAUAAUAAAAGAAGAAUAACAAAUAAGUGGAUUAUCAUAUAUAUUUCAUGUAGAAAUAUGAAUAAGUUAUUUAGUUAGUUCUACACUCGUUGCACUUUAUUUUAUUAUAUAUACUCACUUAGAUAUACUUAGUAUAAUUAUAUAGGAAUUAUAAUGAUUAUAAGAUACCUUUCUAAUAAUAUUUUAGAAAUAUAAGUAUAAUAAGAAAAUAAUAAAAAACAGGUACAAAUAUUAAAUCGAGGUACUCAUUCUAUGACAAUUCUCAACAACUCCCCCUCCAUUCUUGUGCCUUUAGUGGGCUUAGUAUUUCCGGCAAUUGCAAUGGCUUCUUUAUUUCUUUAUAUUCAAAAAAACAAGAUUUUUUAGAUCCAAUUAGGUCCGAUGGGGGUAGAU
rnacentral:misc_RNA from 1 species